rnacentral:snoRNA from 1 species
CGCAGCCCCGUCAAAUUCGGUCCCUGCCUUCUCCGUGGCAGGGACCGGCCCAC